AGUGUUAAGUUACUCUUGGUAAACUGGUAACUAAGAAGCAGCAGAGAGAAAGAGAGAGAGAGAAUUUAUAGUCUAGCUUUCCAACAAGUCAUUUUAAAACCUAAUUUUGUGCUGGGUCUGCAGCUCAAUGGUAGAACAUAUGUUCUAGCCUGGUGAUACCUUGGGUUCAACCCCCAGAGCCAAAAUUAAAGCAAAGCAAAAAAAAAAAAAAAAAGAAAGAAAAUCAGAUUAAAGCUGUGCUAAUUUCACUUAUUCUGUGGCGUCUCAGGGAGGCAGAUGCAACCUCAUUUCCCAAGGGAAGGAACACGCAGCCCAGGAAGAGAACACAAAGCUCGAACCCAUGUAAAACAGCUGGAUUCAGGAAGAUGGCUCAGGGAUAAAGACACUUUCUGCCAAACUUGAUGACCUAAAUUCCAUUCCCAGGCCCCACACGGUAGGAGAGAACUGACUCCCCCAAGUUGUCCUCUGACAUCCACAUCAGUGCUACGGUCUACACCUCCCCCUCAAAAGAAAUUGUGUAGCAGUGACACGCAUCUGCAAUCACAGCUCUUCUGCAGCCUGGAAACUCCAGGGCCAGCCAGCCUGGAGUGCUCCCGAGCCACAGAAACAAAAAGCCUGCUGCCUCAACAAGGCAGUGGAAGAGAACCGAGUCCACGUGCAAGCCACAACAGCGCUGGGUGAACAAGACUCACAGUGAGACAUGCAAAAAUCUCUGCCUAUCACAGCAGUUCAUCAAAAGAUGAGGAAAAAACGAUCCCUGCAGGGAAAAGGAAGAAGCAGGAAUGAAGCAUCUCUGAUUGACUUCAGAGCACUAGGAGAGGCCAAGAAAGUCCUCCUGCCUGGGUUUUGCCAUUUCUAAAGUAGCCACUUGGUCACAAUGUACUAAUAUCCACAGUGUGUUGAAGUAAAUAUUUAUGACGGUUUGUAUGUGCUCAGCCCAGGGAGUGGCAGCAUUAGGUGUGGCCCUGUUGGAGUAGGUGUGUCACUGUGGGUGUGGGUUAUAAGACCUUUUAUCCUAGUUGCCUGGGGGUCAGUAUUCUGCUAGCAGCCUCCAGAUGAAGAUGUUGAACUCUCAGCUCCUGCACCAUGCUUGUCUGGAUGUUGCCAUGUUCCCGACUUCAUGAUGAUGGACUGAACCUCUGAACCUGUAAGCCAGCCCCAAUUAAAUGUCCUUAUAAGACUUACAUUGGUCAUGGUGUCUGGCCACAGCCAUAAUACCCUAAGACAAUAUUAAAAAUAAUAGUAACAAUAA
rnacentral:lncRNA from 1 species